rnacentral:lncRNA from 1 species
GGACCCCAUAGACCCCAUAGACCCCCCCUCCCAUCCCCCAACCUUCGCACAGUUCCCGCUCGGGCACGCAACGCGCAGGCGCAGAACCACGUGCUCGCCGCUCACCAAUCAACGAAGAGGGGAGGGAAACACCACGUGACAGGAAGUGGUUGUACAGCUGACUUCCGCUUCCGGUGCCCUCCGCUACCGGCGGCGGGUUCAUGGCCGACAAGGCCCGAACGGCGUUUCCAUGGUAACGGCUGCGGUGGGGACAAGGUUCUUAAUUAGGCCUUAAUGAGGCGCUGACUUCCGAGUUGGGGGCGUCGCCGCCAUGACAGCUACCAGCCCCCCCCCGGACCAUUACCGGGUUCUCGGGGUCCCACCCGACGCCAGCCAGGAACAGAUCCGGGAUGCGUUCAUCAGGGGCUGCAAGGAGGUGAGACCCCAUAGAGACCCCAUAGCGACCCUAUAGACCCUAUAGAGCCCAUAGCGACCCUAUAGACCCUAUAGAGCCCAUAGCGACCCUAUAGACCCUAUAGAGCCCAUAGCGACCCUAUAGACCCUAUAGACCCCAUAAAGACCCUAUAGACACCAUAGGGACCCCAUAGAGCCCAUAACGACCCCAUAGACCCCAUAGGGACCCCAUAGACCUCAUAGGGACCCUAUAGGCACCAUAGGGACCCUAUAGACCCCAUAGGGACACUAUAGACACCAUAACGACCCUAUAGAGCCCAUAGCGACCCUAUAGAGCCCAUAGGGACCCUAUAGAGCCCAUAGGGACCCUAUAGACACCAUAGGGACCCUAUAGACACCAUAGGGACCCUAUAGAGCCCAUAGCGACCCUAUAGACUCCAUAAAGACCCUAUAGAGCCCAUAG